CCCUUUAACAUUUCCCUCCCGUCCUUGUCGCCUACCUAACCAGUGGCAGGCAGGAAGGGGAGGGUAAGAAGGAGCCGCCAAGGAGGAGUGUGGUGUGCGUCGAUCUCCUCGCGCGCGCGCGUGCGAGCGUGUGUGUGCGCCUCCCCGGUAUCCUAUCCCGUCACCUCCCUUCCGCCGUUGUCUACGGCCCCGGCCCAUCGGUCUUGCCUGCCCGCAGCGGCGGGUUCAGGCUCUUGUAGGUGCCGGAGCACGCGCGACCGCUGCACCGCCGGCAGGUCUCCUUCGACGUCCUCUUGGGGCGGGAGGAGUUGCUGUUCUUAGGACACUACACGGUUUGUGGUGAAGUACAGCGUCGACCUAUGUUAUUAUGACUCUAUCACUUUAAGGAAGAACUAACCGUUCCCGUUCCACGUCUAUCCCAACUCCACCUCCGUUUCUUGUACAUGCCUCUCUGUGGGGACGUAUACCGUCAUUUUUUAUCAAGAAUACUUAGUCGUUUUAACGAGGAACUUGCACCACAUGUAUGUCCUCGGUUUCGUUUAUUACCGUACAGUGGUAACGUAAAUCGACAGACCGUACGUGAAGUUUGGCCUCUAACGUCGUGGCAGUUAAACAACGAUUCGAUAUUACGUCUAACGUUACGAUUUCUACUACUUCCGUUUUAGGGGAAUUUAGUAUAGGGUCCUCCUCGACCGUUACUCUACGACGAGGUCGAGGAGUGAGCGGUAUACCUUCUUGUUUCUUUUGUUUUUCGGGAGUACUGUACAGUACUUGUUGUCAGUUACCGCCUCAAACUUCUUCGUUAUAGUGUUUAGCACCCCAACGUUCUCGACUUUUACGUUAAUGCAGCUACCCGGUCCCCUUACGAAAAACUACUUUUCGCGGCCCGAUACCCGAAUCCCUAACGAUGGUCUUCUCGAGGGGUGUACCGUAAAGACCCGUUAGGUCCUUGUCCAUUUUGUUACCAACGAGCAUAAGAACCUUUCGAGGAUGUAUACUAACCCUAAGAGGGAUGACUGUUUCAAUGACUUCAAGUCGCUUGACUAGAACAACCUCUUAAACACCCCGUAUGACCUGGUUUCUGCUCCGCCUUCUAUUUUCUGCGGCUCCCUCCCUAAGACAAACACCUACUUCGAAUGUCCAACUAUGGUAGCGUUUUUAGCCUACUAUUCCUAAUACCAAACCUCCGUGACCUCCUCUAUUACAGACAUUACCUGUCACCGUUUCAUCAACAGUAUAAACGACCCAUGACGCUCGUUUACUUCGCACAGUAACGGAGCUUGCUACCAAAGACAUCCUCCCAGUGCUACAAGAAACUGAAACUACUAAAGUGGUGCUGUCUUAAUCGCCUCUAUAACGAAGACUUCUACUUAUCGGACUGACUGUGUUCAAACGAAAUGCCCAAGUCCGACGUGGCCUCGACGUGGUCUCCACGGCAACCUCUCGACUAACGGUCCCCCUGGUGACUCCUCACCGAAUUUGUCUACUUGCCUCCAGACCAUCUGUGUGACGAACAGUUACGUGCACUUUUGAACCUAGAAGCAGAACUAAAGUCAACGUUACUGCGACUCUGGUACUAGUGUUAGUGUAACCUUCUGGACCUUCGUCCGGAUUCCGUCUAGAGCUCUGUCUCUGUAAACGCCACUGGAUGUUAGUCCUUGUAAGAAAAGAACUGUUUGGUUCAAUGUCCAAGUCCUCAAAACUAUCUUCACUAACCAAGGCGAAGCCCAUGAUACAGACCACAUAGACAAGGUUAACCAUCCAACGACGGGAAGACGUUAUCAUCGUAGCCAUGCGUACAUCCAAAAAAAAAAAAAAAACCUUUUGUGUCUAGAAAUAAGUAAACGUUAUUGUUCAUGUAGCAAAUACUCCUCUCCAUGUUAAAGUGAGUUUCCGAGGAGUUUGGUCAAGUUUCGACAUCUUUUAAAUCGAUGAAAUCGUUCAAGUACACGUUGGGAUAACCGAAGGGAUAAUAUCACGAGCUUAGAUCAUUACCCAUUUAGUGUUCGGUUUUUUAUUGUUAGCAGUUUAUGACGAGCGACGACAUGAACAGUUGGCAAGAGAUAAUAAGUACCAAAGCUACUGGA
rnacentral:rRNA from 1 species